rnacentral:misc_RNA from 1 species
GAUGAAGAACGCAGCGAAAUGCGAUAAGUAAUGUGAAUUGCAGAAUUCAGUGAAUCAUCGAAUCUUUGAACGCACAUUGCGCCCGCCAGUAUUCUGGCGGGCAUGCCUGUUCGAGCGUCAUUUCAACCAUCAAGCCCCGGGCUUGUGUUGGGGACCUGCGGCUGCCGCAGGCCCUGAAAUGCAGUGGCGGGCUCGCUGUCACUCCGAGCGUAGUAAUACAUCUCGCUCAGGGCGUGCUGCGGGUUCCGGCCGUUAAAAAGCCUUAUUUACCCAAGGUUGACCUCGGAUCAGGUAGGAAGACCCGCUGAACUUAAGCAUAUCAAUAAGCGGAGGA